AGAGUUUGAUCCUGGCUCAGAAUGAACGCUGGCGGCAUGCCUAACACAUGCAAGUCGAACGAAGGCUUCGGCCUUAGUGGCGCACGGGUGCGUAACGCGUGGGAAUCUGCCCCUUGGUUCGGAAUAACAGAUGGAAACGACUGCUAAUACCGGAUGAUGACCUACGUCCAAACAUUUAUCGCCGAGGGAUGAUCCCGCGAACGAUUACGUAUUUGGUGUGGUAAAGGCGCACCACUCCGACGAUCCUUAACUGGUCUGAGAGGAUGAUCUCCCACACUGGGACUGAAACACGGCCCACACUCCUACAGGAGGCACCCGUGGGGAAUAUUGGACAAUGGGCGAAAGCCUGAUCCAUCAAUGCCGCGUGAGUGAUGAAUGCCUUAGGGUUGUAAAGCUCUUUUACCCCGGAUGAUAAUGACGGUACCGGGAGAAUAUARCUCCGGCUAACUCCGUGCCAGCMSCCGCGGUAAUACGGAGGGAGCUAGCGUUAYUCGGAAUUACUGGGCGUAAAGCGCACGUARGCGGCUUUGUAAGUAAGAGGUGAAAGCCCASAGCUCAACUCUGGAAUUGCMUUUUAKACUGCAUCGCUUGAAUCAUGGASAGGUCASUGGAAUUCCGAGUGUAKAGGUGAWRUUCGKAKAUAUUCKGAAGAACACCAGUGGCGAASGCGGCUGACUGGACAUGUAUYGACRCUGAGGUGCGAAAGCGUGKGGAGCAAACAGGAUUAGAUACCSUGRUAGUCCACGCCGUAAACGAUGAUAACUAGCUGUCCGGACACUUGGUGUKUGRGUGGCGCAGCUAACGCAUUAMKUUAUCCGCCUGGGGAGUACGGCCGCWRGGUUAAAACUCAAAUGAAUUUGACGGGGGCCUGCACAAGCGGUGGAGCAUGUGGUUUAMUUCGAAGCAACGCGCAGAACCUUACCAGCGUUUGACAUGGCAGGWCGACUUCCAGAGAUGGAUUUCUUCCCUUCGGRGACCUGCACACAGGUGCUGCAUGGCUGUCKUCAGCUCGUGUCGWGAGAUGUUGGGUUAAGUCCCGCAACGAGCGCAACCCUCGCCUUUAGUUGCCAUCAUUUAGUUGGGCCCUUUAAAGGAACCGCCGGUGAUAAGCCGGAGGAAGGUGGGGAAGACGUCAAGUCCUCAUGGCCCUUACGCGGUGGGGUACACCCGUGCUACAAUGGCGGUGACAGUGGGCAGCAAGCACGCGAGUGUGAGGUAAUUUCCAAAAGCCGUAUCAGUUUGGAUUGUUCUGUGCAACUCGAGAGCAUGAAGGCGGAAUCGCUAGUAAUCGCGGAUCAGCGCGCCGCGGGGAAUACGUUCCCAGGCCUUGUACACACCGCCCGUCACACCAUGGGAGUUGGAUUCACCCGAAGGCGUUGCGGUAAAUCGUAAGAGAGGCAGGCGACCACGGUGGGUUUAGCGACUGGGGUGAAGUCGUAACAAGGUAACC
rnacentral:rRNA from 1 species